CUGCCACAAAUAAUAAACCUCGUCGCAUCAAAUUCUUUCAAAAUUCUAAUCACUAACAAAUACUUAAUUUGAAAACAUUUUCUCAAUAAACAAACAAGCAAACAAACAGAAAAAGCUAAAUCUUUCUACAAGGCUAUCAACAGGCUCACGAAAAAUGUACCUCAACCAUCUCAACAUUUCCAGCGGUUUCAAACAAGCCAGCAAGCUGAGCACUGUCAACGCUAAAAGGAAGGUUACCCACAAAAAGUUUCAAGUCGGGGGAGAAAUUCGAACCGUCUUCAUCGCUCAAAAGGUCCUCUUCCUGGUCAAACUCGGACGAAACGGCUACGUUUCUGACGAAACGAGAGGGGGAAGAGGGCAAGGGUUGAAAAGAAUGGAUGAAAGAAGAGGAUAUCGAGAUGGGCUUCGCUAGAAGUUUGUGAGAAGAGGAGGAAGAUAAGAGAGAAAAUGAAGUGGGUUUUGAGUUGUAGAAGGCUAGGGUUUUGGGACUGAGAGAUGGGAGCACCAGCGAAGAAGCUGACGUCGUAGACAUGGCUACUGGCUCAAGGGUUUUUGAGUUUCUUUGAAAGCUUCGAAAAUGAAGAAG
rnacentral:lncRNA from 1 species